rnacentral:rRNA from 1 species
UACGUAGGGUGCAAGCGUUGUCCGGAAUUAUUGGGCGUAAAGAGCUCGUAGGCGGUCUGUCGCGUCUGCUGUGAAACUCAGGGCUUAACCCUGAGCUUGCAGUGGGUACGGGCAGACUAGAGUGCGGUAGGGGAGACUGGAAUUCCUGGUGUAGCGGUGAAAUGCGCAGAUAUCAGGAGGAACACCGGUGGCGAAGGCGGGUCUCUGGGCCGUAACUGACGCUGAGGAGCGAAAGCAUGGGGAGCGAACAGG